rnacentral:rRNA from 1 species
UACGAAGGGGGCUAGCGUUGCUCGGAAUCACUGGGCGUAAAGCGCACGUAGGCGGAUCGUUAAGUCAGGGGUGAAAUCCUGGAGCUCAACUCCAGAACUGCUUUUGAUACUGGCGAUCUUGAGUUCGAGAGAGGUGAGUGGAACUGCGAGUGUAGAGGUGAAAUUCGUAGAUAUUCGCAAGAACACCAGUGGCGAAGGCGGCGAUCUGGGGAAGAUACUGACGCUGAGGUGCGAAAGCGUGGGGAGCAAACAGG